UCGUAUGGUAAUCGUAUCGUAUCGUUACACAUCUUGUUAUUCUAAUGUCUUUGGUUCAACUUUGAACACGUGUAACUUCUAAAAUACCAUUUUGAACUAUUACCUGUCGAAUGCAAUAUGAUCCGUUGUCAUCGAAAACUUAAUUUUUGUAUAGUAUUUAGAGGAGUAACAAGAGUUUCUGUUGUUAACUUCUACCGGGAAAAUCCAAUGUUGCCGAUGACGCCACCUGCCGAUUCAUCACACAUGUGAACUGCAAAGACGCGGCAAUAGCGUAUUGGAAGACACAACUCAGCUAUUACCACACAUCGAAGCGCCAAACAAUGUUUACAAAAAUCAAUUCAUAUUCGACCCCUACCUGACCGAGUAUGUUUGCAAGUACCGGCACAUGGGACAUGUGCGGCAUAAAAUCCCCAUUAGCAUCCCACAACCAAGCGACAAAGAAAUAUCCUACCUAUCAGCACUAUUACAGAAACAUUUUACGGCCUCAAUCCUGAACGGGAUGAAGGUCCUAUAUUCAGAAACUGUAUAAAAUCCGUAUAACGCAGAGAGGCGAUUUGUGAUGUUAUUGAAAAUUGACAUCGCAGGGCCCAUAGGGGGUCUAAAAGAAUCUAAGAAAAAUUCUUUUUCGACCCCGAUACCGAACUAUCAAUGUAAAAUACUUCAUAUCGAUGUGGAGAAAAAAUCUAUCUCCGUUUUAUUGAUAAAUUCACAAAAUUUGUUUUUGGAAUUCAAAUCAGCAAUACAUCUACGAGAGAAAUUGCUGCACUAUUUCACGUUUACAAGGGCUGUUGUUUCCGACAACGAGAGGGGUUACCUCUGCCCAACAUCUUUAAACUACCUCCGGGAACUUUAAAUGGAAUUAUACGGCACCCCGACUCAGGAAAGCGAAGUCAAUGGCCAGAUGGUCCAAUUUUAAACGUAAGGGGCUUGAUCGAACGCAAGCAGAUUAAGACAAAAGGAAAACCACGUUUCAGUCUCAAAGAGAUACAGGAAGCCAAAGUUGUCACGUUUAGGACCAAGUCCGCCAAACCAUAACCGCAAUUCAAGUCUUUAGAUACGAAUGCAACAGGGCAGCAUUUGGCGCGAAAGCCCCAGUGGGUCAUUAUCUGAGCGAAACAGCGAAGGCAAUCGGGAGAAUAGCAAGUGCGCCGCCAAGGAAAUCGCGCUCUAUUGAUUGGUUAUAGCACCCUGUUCUUGACGUACUUUAAUGGAACGGUAAGAACCUGGUCAAGGGAUCGACAAUGGAACGGUAGCCAUCGGAAAAAGAAAUUAUAUUAGCUACUCAAGGAGUCACUUGAUGCCCCUGCAGGCGGGACUCACCCAUAAGACAGCCACCGACUACCAACUG